rnacentral:rRNA from 1 species
CAGCCCUAAACGAUGCGCGUUAGGUGUAUCGGUGACCACGAGUCACCGAGGUGCCGAAGGGAAACCGUGAAACGUGCCGCCUGGGAAGUACGGUCGCAAGGCUGAAACUUAAAGGAAUUGGCGGGGGAGCACCACAACGGGUGGAGCUUGCGGUUUAAUUGGAUUCAACGCCGGAAAUCUUACCGGGACCGACAGCAACAUGAAGGCCAGGCUGAAGACUUUGCCGGAUUAGCUGAGAGGAGGUGCAUGGCGUAGACGUCU